rnacentral:rRNA from 1 species
GACGAACGCUGGCGGCGUGCCUAAUACAUGCAAGUCGAACGAGUGGCGGACGGGUGAGUAACACGUGGGAACCUACCCAUAAGAGGGGGAUAACACUUGGAAACAGGUGCUAAUACCGCAUACUGAUGGAUGGACCCGGGGUGCAUUAGCUAGUUGGUGAGGUAACGGCUCACCUAGGCGACGAUCCCUAGCUGGGCUGAGAGGAUGAUCAGCCACACUGGGACUGAGACACGGCCCAGACUCCUACGGGAGGCAGCAGUGGGGAAUAUUGCACAAUGGGCGCAAGCCUGAUGCAGCCAUGCCGCGUGUAUGAAGAAGGCCUUCGGGUUGUAAAGUACUUUCAGUCGGGAGGCGUUACCGACAGAAGAAGCACCGGCUAACUCCGUGCCAGCCGCCGCGGUAAUAC